CUACGGGGCGCACCAGUCACGGAACCUUUACAAUGCGCGAAAGCGUGAUAGGGGGAUUCCAAGUGCCUUACUAAUGGUAAGGCUUUUGCCAAAUGUAAGGAGUUUGGCGAAUAAGGGGUGGGUAAGACGCGGUGCCAGCCGCCGCGGUAAUACCGGCGCCCCAAGUGUGAUCAUUUUUAUUGGGCCUAAAGCGUCCGUAGCCUGUUUGAAAAAUUUCUUGUGAAAUUGUUCAGCUUAACUGAACAGCGUGCAGGGAACACUUUUAAACUUGGAACCGGGAGAAGGCAGAGGUAUUCUAAGGGGAGCGGUAAAAUGCUAUAAUCCUUGGAGGACCACCAGUGGCGAAGGCUUCUGUCUAGAACGGCUUCGACGGUGAGGGACGAAAGCUAGGGUAGCAAAACGGAUUAGAUACCCUUGUAGUC
rnacentral:rRNA from 1 species